rnacentral:lncRNA from 1 species
CAUCCUCAACUCUAUUAUACGCCUUUCAUUGAACAGGCUUCCUCCAUAAAAUUUCACUCACCGAAAUUGCUAACUUUCAGGGAAGAAAAUGAACCCUAAUCGAAAUUGAAACCCUAAAUCCCCCAAAUCUAAACCCUGAGCUCGAAAUCAAGGUCCUUCACGCCAUUGCUAAGUACUCAAACAGCCUGCGCAAGCAUGAAGAAGCAGCUCCCAUUCCGUUUCUGUAGUUCUCGCAAUUGAUGGACAACAUGAGGAUAAAUUUCAAGCUUAUGGGUUUUAAAGUUUUGGGCUUUGUAGUUGCUAUUCAUCUGACACAUAUGGGUUUUGUAGCUGCUAUUUUGGGUUUUGCAGUUGCUAUUCCCGUAUCUGAAAAUUUUGAAGUUGCUAUUCAUAUGACAUUUAUGGGUUUUACAAAUCUGAAAAAUAUUUAUUUACAUGGUUUCUUUUGGGAAUUGUAAUUGUACUCUUCCUCCCAACACUUAGAUUAAUUCACAGAAAUUCACAGAAUCCUGUGUCUCAUUUGAAUGACCUUCGUAACAUGAUUUAAUUGUUCAACCAGUUUGAUAUAGUUUGAUUCUGCUGGAGUUCUCGACUUGGAUACGGGGUUGAUCAGUUGAGUAGGGUUGAAUCAUUUGAUAACUAAUUAAUUCCCAAAAUAUAUACUAUAGUAGCAAAUAUAUAUAUUUUAAAGUUUGGCCACAGUUUGUUGUUCUCUAUUUGACGGUUUGCAUCCAUUCUUGUUAAUGUGGUUUAAUUGUAUGACAGAUUGUGAGUAAAUUCCUACUACUUCACACCUUUUACUUUGAUACCAAUGGUCUGGUUAUAGUAAUUUCCAACAAGACCGUUUCAAGGAGAACUAAGAAUCAAUUGAAUCACAGAGCUACUGUGUAGUUAAUGAACAAGAGUCUGUAGUAUUUCACCCCUGAAUGCACUCAAGAUGCAUUUCUUGAUUUGCUUCUUCCUAGCCUCCCUAUCUUUAGUAAAUUUUUUCUUACUCAAAAAUUUUCUCUAGUUUCUUCAAAUUGCUGUUGGUGUUCAGUUAGAGUGUAUUUGAAUGACAUGGAAAAUAUUAUCUAUAAAAGAAAAUAUUUUCCAUCUUUUGUGGAAAAUAAAAACCACAUCUACCCAAAGAAAAUAUU